rnacentral:tRNA from 1 species
GCCGGAGUGGCGGAAUUGGCAGACGCGCUGGAUUCAAAAUCCAGUGGGAGUAAUCCCGUGAGGGUUCAAGUCCCUCCUCCGGUAC